UACCCGCUGAAUUUAAGCAUAUCAUAAAAGCGGGAGAGGAA
rnacentral:rRNA from 1 species